rnacentral:lncRNA from 1 species
UUGUGCCAUACACCAAAGGAGUAAAGAUAUCUCAAUGGCUUUUACCAUCUGAUCAAAUUUAAACACUAACUAAGAAAAAAAACAAAGAGAAAAUCCCAAGUCAGAAGAUUGUGUCUGAGUUCACAGGACGCAGGGGUUGUGGUUUGGUUUUUGAAUGGAGCUUGAUCACAGUAAAUAAAAAAGGACCUUAACCAGCAGGGGGGAUACUUGGUACCAUUCAAGUUCUUACGACAAAAAAAAACAGAACAAAAAGAACUGGGAAGCAACUUCCUGGAUUCACAGAUAAAAAAGAAAAAUACCUCUAACACCGAGGACCAUAUCUUCAAGGGCAUGAAUCACUCAUCACGUCCAACAUCACACAUCAUCCAUCUCUCACACAACCCUUGACCUUUUACUCACCCCAUCAUCAAUCAUCACAACAAGAGCACAAGAUCUCAAUCAAAAGGGCAAAGAGAACGAAACCGAAAGAAAAAGUCUGUGCAGCUGCGAAGGUAAGUUCUCCUUCGUCGCUUCCAAGUUUAAAUGUCAGCUGGUUUUGAUUUGGCAAUGCCUGUCUUGGUCUGUUUGAACAUGCAAUUUGAUUUUGUCUGCUUGAAUGUGUAAUUUGCUUCUGCACAUUAUUUAUUAUUCAUGCUAAUAACAUAAGCACGCGCCAUCGCCUUCAACAAUCACGAAACCAGUGCCCUCUCUACAUAACCCAAACCUGCAAACUAAUGUUCCCCAUACACAAUCCCAUUACCAUCAUCAAUCUUGAGUUAUACUAUUGAAAUCCCAAUGCCUUUUUCCUGCAAGAAGAAAGAAAUAAUCCAAUAACCCUUAAUCAAUUACAACUGCACAAACCAAACCAGACAAUGAAACUAUACCCUCCAUGCCUUUGUCCAUCUCCAAUCAGCAACAAUGAGAUUGAAGUACUAAGCUAGAUACUCGCCGGAAAAAACACAAUAGAAAAAGAAAUAAAACAACAAAACUAGUCCGUUCAUCGUCACCUGUUCAACCUCCAUUCACCCAUUAGUUUCAUCCCAACUCAAGCACAAUAUAUACUCAUAUUUUCCAGUAUCGGUAAACCAAAACAUCAAACAAUAAAAAACAACUAAUCAAUGAGUGCCGGCGGUGAGCGUUGCUGAGGACGUUUGACGUUUGAGAGAGGAGUAGAGAGCCCUUGAAUGGAGAUGAACAAAUGCGACGUUAGGGGGCACCGGUGAAGACCGCGACUCCGGUGAGACUGUGCCGCAGCAAGGCUGUCUACUGAGGUCGCUGGAAUGGCCAGGAGAAGCUGACCCAACGAAAGUUGCGAUCGAGGAAGAAGAUGACCCAUCAGGUGGCGGUGAUCACGACUGACGACGAUGGUUGGAUUCGUUCAUGGUGGUGAAGACUAGACUCAGGGAAGCAGUGGUUCUUCCCUCCCUCGCGCGGUUGAUCUUGUUGAUGGUUGGUGUCGCCGGCGACACCUUGGAUUGAGUGACGAUAGCUCCGGCAGCGAGUCGCGUCGCCGGCGCGACCCUAGUUCGUGACCCAGAGGCGGCUGCGGCCAGUUUCAGUGAAGGCGACGGGAACGACAAGAUCUCAGAGAUUGGGCCGGUCGUGCGCGAAAUGAAGGAGAGAAGGAAGAACCUGGCGCCAUGGCCGACGACGACUCCGGCUGGCACUGUGGCCGGCGACGACUCCGGCGACGAGCAUUGUCGGUGGCGACGCUGUGGCUGCAACACACGGUGGCCGGAAAAGGUCGAAAGGCUUGAACAGUGGAAGUGGGCGCUACUGGGUGUUUCGCUCAAAGGAGGAGAGGCCAAGUCUCUAGGUUUUUCUGAAUGGUGGAAUGAGAGCAAUAUUGGCAGACCCCUGUUGUGUCUGAAUUUGGGGGAAAGGCUUGCAAAAGCCUUGGGCCGGAUCUGGACCUUUUCUUUUCUUAACUUUUCUUUUAAUUAUUAAAAAAUAUAAAAACCUUUCCGCACACCCCCAGCUUCCAUUCACACACCCUUUCUGUUUGGGGCUUAAGCCCAUGCUGACUCUACAAAACCUUUUACCUCUUUGCAGCCUCCUAGUUUCACAUUCACACUCCCUUUCCCCUUGGACUUAGGCCCAGUUCGUUUUUUUUAAGGGAAAAAUGAUUUAGGCACCCCUUUUCUUUUUUAUUUAUUUAUUAUUAUUAUUAUUAUUUUUUUUUUCUUUCUUUUCUUUCAUCUUAUCAUUUAACUUUUUAUUUUAUUUUUGUUUCUACUUUUUAUUUUCAUUUAAUUAUUUAUUCAUUUAUUUUAUUUAUCUACUUUUAAGUAUAUAUUGAAAACAAAAAAAUAUUUUAAAAGGUUUAAGCACACGUGCGACCAUUCGCGUCAGCCUUGUGUUAAAACNUUUUCNNCCUUCUUUCAAAAAAUACAAAAAUAUUUUAAAAGGUUUAAGCACACGUGCGACCAUUCGCGUCAGCCUUGUGUUAAAACCUUUUCCUCCUUCUUUAAAAAAAAUAACAGAAAUAUCUUAAGAGGUUUAAGCACACGUGCGACCAUUCGCGUCAGCCUUGUGUUAAAAACCUUUUCCUUCUUCUCUCAAAAUUAACAAAAAAUAUAAAACAAACUUUCCAAGCAAUUCUCCAAAUAAACUUUCGAAAUAUUUUUAAAGAACUACGUAACCCUGAUUUCCCAGUCUAACUGAGAAUACGUAGGAGCAAGGUCAAUCCUUGUCGGGCACAAAAAACAAAAAAAAAUAUAUUUUGUUUUCUUUAGAGUUUUAUUUUUAGGGGAAAUUAAACAUUUUGCAAACCACAUCAAAUCCGCGUAUUUAGUUAAAGGUACUGCGUUAGGGCAGGCGUUGUGGGGGUGCUAACACCUUCCUCACACGUAACCGACUCCCGAACCUAAUCUUUGGUUUUCGUGGACCGUGCUUUAUCAUUUUAUGGUUUUUCCGUAGUUUUCCAGAAUAAAUUAUGGUGACGACUCCAAAACUCUUUUUCAAACCCGUUUUCUUUUUGGAUCGUCGUCCCGUCGCGAUUCCGGUUGCGACAGGGGAAAUUAAACAUUUUGCAAACCACAUUAAAUUUGCGCAUUUGGUUAAAGGUACUGCCUUCGGGCAGGCGUUGUAGGGUGCUAAUACCUUCCCUACACGUAACUGACUCCCGAACCCAAUCUUUGGUUUUCGUGGACCGUGCUUUAUCAUUUUAUGGUUUUUCCGUAGUUUUCCAGAAUAAACUAUGGUGGCGACUCCAAAAUCUCUUUUUCAAAAAAUAUUUUCUUUUUUGGAUUGUCGUCCCGUCACGAUUUUUUCCGGUUGCGACACUUAUAAAAUAGUAUUUUAGAGAUGGUGAUAAUCUAAAAUAGUGAAAUUCGGUUAUUUUAAUAUUAAGUUAUUUUAUUAUAAAUAAUUUUUUUUAUAAAUUAAUUUUAUUAUUUUAAAACUUACCAUAGUUUUAGAAACAAUUUGUCUAGAGUUUUCUACUUUCUUUCUAAAGAUUCUAGCACAUCCAUAAUUUGUUUAACGAUUAGGUUACCUGAUCAAUCUCUAUAAUAGAGAAAGUAAGUUUUUAUCUCUUUUUUCUUUUAAUUCUUACUCUUUGAUCUUUUUUUGUUCUUGGUUAAUUUUUGGUCUUAAGGGUUCUUUCUAAUUAUCCUUCGAUGUUUCAUAUGUUACUUCAGAAAUUUCUUGUGUUUAAAGCAACAGGUGGGAUGUUCUUAGAGUUAGACAG